UGUAUCACAUUGAGCUAGCAAUAAAAAAAAAGAGAGGCGCGAACAGCUCUUCUCCCUGUGUGAUCACUAAAUAAUGCAAUGGCGUCAUUUCAGCUAAACCCAGGGAAUGGCAAAGUGGGAUGAGGUGGAGUGGGGGUGAUUUCAAAGCCUCCAAGGAAUUUUGGAUGCAGACAUGAAGACAUUCAAGCAGCACUUUUAAAGCAAGCAUCUUACAUCUCCAAUGGUCCACCACACUCAAAUGGGCCUAAAGCUGGGACACAGGAUGACCACGAUUUGAAUGCUGCAAGUGAGACGGAAUGACUUCGAGGGACAUACGCUGACUGGACACGGGCCGGAUAUUUGUGACAACGACCUAAAAGAGGCACACCAGCGCCCCUUUUUAUGUUUUAUUCCAUGGACAACAAUCUCUCUAGCUACCCCUUAUUCCACACUAUGCCUUUUAUGCCCCAUAGUCCCUCAAGUUUU